rnacentral:rRNA from 1 species
AAAUUGAAGAGUUUGAUCAUGGCUCAGAUUGAACGCUGGCGGCAGGCCUAACACAUGCAAGUCGAACGGUAACAGGAAACAGCUUGCUGUUUCGCUGACGAGUGGCGGACGGGUGAGUAAUGUCUGGGAAACUGCCUGAUGGAGGGGGAUAACUACUGGAAACGGUAGCUAAUACCGCAUAACGUCGCAAGACCAAAGAGGGGGACCCUCGGGCCUCUUGCCAUCGGAUGUGCCCAGAUGGGAUUAGCUUGUUGGUGGGGUAACGGCUCACCAAGGCGACGAUCCCUAGCUGGUCUGAGAGGAUGACCAGCCACACUGGAACUGAGACACGGUCCAGACUCCUACGGGAGGCAGCAGUGGGGAAUAUUGCACAAUGGGCGCAAGCCUGAUGCAGCCAUGCCGCGUGUAUGAAGAAGGCCUUCGGGUUGUAAAGUACUUUCAGCGGGGAGGAAGGGAGUAAAGUUAAUACCUUUGCUCAUUGACGUUACCCGCAGAAGAAGCACCGGCUAACUCCGUGCCAGCAGCCGCGGUAAUACGGAGGGUGCAAGCGUUAAUCGGAAUUACUGGGCGUAAAGCGCACGCAGGCGGUUUGUUAAGUCAGAUGUGAAAUCCCCGGGCUCAACCUGGGAACUGCAUCUGAUACUGGCAAGCUUGAGUCUCGUAGAGGGGGUAGAAUUCCAGGUGUAGCGGUGAAAUGCGUAGAGAUCUGGAGGAAUACCGGUGGCGAAGGCGGCCCCCUGGACGAAGACUGACGCUCAGGUGCGAAAGCGUGGGGAGCAAACAGGAUUAGAUACCCUGGUAGUCCACGCCGUAAACGAUGUCGACUUGGAGGUUGUGCCCUUGAGGCGUGGCUUCCGGAGCUAACGCGUUAAGUCGACCGCCUGGGGAGUACGGCCGCAAGGUUAAAACUCAAAUGAAUUGACGGGGGCCCGCACAAGCGGUGGAGCAUGUGGUUUAAUUCGAUGCAACGCGAAGAACCUUACCUGGUCUUGACAUCCACGGAAGUUUUCAGAGAUGAGAAUGUGCCUUCGGGAACCGUGAGACAGGUGCUGCAUGGCUGUCGUCAGCUCGUGUUGUGAAAUGUUGGGUUAAGUCCCGCAACGAGCGCAACCCUUAUCCUUUGUUGCCAGCGGUUCGGCCGGGAACUCAAAGGAGACUGCCAGUGAUAAACUGGAGGAAGGUGGGGAUGACGUCAAGUCAUCAUGGCCCUUACGACCAGGGCUACACACGUGCUACAAUGGCGCAUACAAAGAGAAGCGACCUCGCGAGAGCAAGCGGACCUCAUAAAGUGCGUCGUAGUCCGGAUUGGAGUCUGCAACUCGACUCCAUGAAGUCGGAAUCGCUAGUAAUCGUGGAUCAGAAUGCCACGGUGAAUACGUUCCCGGGCCUUGUACACACCGCCCGUCACACCAUGGGAGUGGGUUGCAAAAGAAGUAGGUAGCUUAACCUUCGGGAGGGCGCUUACCACUUUGUGAUUCAUGACUGGGGUGAAGUCGUAACAAGGUAACCGUAGGGGAACCUGCGGUUGGAUCACCUCCUUACCUUAAAGAAGC